UUGUUCACAACUUUCAUAAGCUCUUCUUCGAUACAUCUUCGAUGGGUCAAGGCCUUGAAUCACUAUUUGAAUACUGCUCAACUCCGCCUAUAAUACGGCCUUACAAAACCAUCGUGCAAAAACUACUUACCAUCCACCAUCUUCCAGCGAAACCAUCUCCGAUCUCAGAAAGCCACUUGUCUCUCUCUAGAUCGGGAAAAGAGGAACAUUCAUGUUCAUCUUCUCUCUCUCUAGCAGCUUGUAAAAGCCCGAGAGGUCAUUUUCUCUCUGUGCUCUUUGAUUCUCAGAUAGCCAGGCAAUAGAGGACCCUUUGAUUCCACCUGCGAGCACGAGCACGAGCACAGGCGGGCAGAAGACUCUUAUGAGAAGAUCCGAUGCCAUUGCUUAUGGUACACCAUAUCAGAAGGCUGCAGCUCUUGUUGAUCUGACUGAGGAUGGAAUCGGCUUACCAGUAGAGGUUCUUGAGGGUACAAGAUUUGAGAAGAGGCCUGUUGAUUUGCUGUUAUGCGAGACGUCUCUGUUCGAGGGGUCGGUUUCUGAGGAUGGCUAAUUUGUAGUUGCUCAAGCCUAUUAUGUUCCUACUCUGCCUUCAGUUAUCCAAACUCAAGUUGCUCUCUCUUAACUCAUCUUGAGUUUGAGAGGGUGUGUGGAAAUUAUAGAAAGCUACACCUAUUUUUUGGUACAAUAUUCUAUUUCCUUUUAUAUAUACCCAUAUUAGGAAGGUAAUUUAUUGAAUAUGUUACUUUUUUUAGUAGUAUACAGCUUUGUAACCCUAUAAAUUAGGGCUUUUGUUCACAACUUCGAUAAGCUCUGAAAUACAUCUUUCAUGGGGGCUUAAGACCCAAAUAUGCAUAAAUACAUUUUCUCACACAGCCUGCUAAAGAAAAAGCCCAAUACUGUGGCAAUACUGUGGUAAAAACUUGAUGAAGGAAAAGCCAAGCGUCCACAAUCCAUUUCUACAGUUCUUUUAUGAAGAUUGGCUGUCUAAGGACGAAUGAUCAACAGGAAAAUAUACAGUAGUUUCCACGAGUAUUGUUGGGAGUAAUCACACCAACAAUUCAUAUUCAUUCCACCACCUGAUAUUAUCAACAAAUCAUGGCGAUGAGUCGUUGUCUGUGUAUUUAGUCCACAAGAACAAUGCUUUUCACAACUAAUUUUCAAGUACAACGCCUAAGUGUAGUUGAUAAUGCAUAUUAAAAUGUAGUAUCCUGUAUCAUUGUCAUUGGGAGUGUUGAAUGUGUUCUCAUGGUUAUCAUGAUGUUCAUCGCUGAAUAAUUGAAGUAAACCUUUACCA